GGCGGUAUAGCUCAGUCGGUAGAGCAAACGGCUCAUAUCCGUUAGGUCAUAGGUUCAAGCCCUAUUGCCGCUAACC
rnacentral:tRNA from 1 species